rnacentral:rRNA from 1 species
UGCGAGUCGAGAGGUGCAAGACCUCGGCGUACUGCUCAGUAACACGUGGAUAACCUACCCUGUGGAGGGGGAUAACCCCGGGAAACUGGGGAUAAUACCCCAUAGGUUAGGGUGGCUGGAAUGCCCCCUAGCUCAAAGGUCCGCCGCCACAGGAUGGGUCUGCGCCCGAUUAGGUUGUUGUUGGGGUAACGGCCCAACGAGCCUUUGAUCGGUACGGGUUGUGGGAGCAAGUGCCCGGAGAUGGAUUCUGAGACACGAAUCCAGGCCCUACGGGGCGCAGCAGGCGCGAAAACUUUACAAUGCGAGAAAUCGUGAUAAGGGAACCCCGAGUGCCCGUAAAUUCGGGCUGUCCGCCAGUGCAAAAAACUGGCGAAGAAAGAGCCGGGCAAGACCGGUGCCAGCCGCCGCGGUAACACCGGCGGCUCGAGUGGUGGUCACUAUUACUGGGCUUAAAGCGUCCGUAGCUUGGUUGUUAAGUCUCUUGGGAAAUCCACCGGCUCAACCGAUGGGCGUCAGGAGAUACUGGCAACCUAGGGACCGGGAGAGGUGAGGGGUACUCCAGGGGUAGGAGUGAAAUCCUGUAAUCCUUGGGGGACCACCUGUGGCGAA